AGCAGUCACUCCGAACGCUUUUGUUCCUAGAGGGCCCGCCUACUCUAGCAAGACUGGUUGAGACGGCGGAACGCAGCGCGCCUUUCCCGGGAACCCUGUGCCAGGAAGCACCAGCCAGGACCCCAGGAAUCAUUUACUGGCAUACCCAAUGGAGGCUGCUAUUGCAAAACUUUAUGUCCUUCAUACCACUAGCAAAUUCCUGCCACCAAACUGCUCAGGGAACUAUGGGCUUGGUGUAGGAGUGUCUUCAUUUUCAUGCCUUCAAUUUUUCCCUGCAGGCUCUCAUUAUGCGGCCCAGGCUGCCUUUGAACUCCUAGGCUCAAGUGAUCCUUCUCAUGAAUAAUUCAGGUUGAGCACAUCAAAAUCUGAUACACACAGAUACCACAUAAUAAAUAUCUCUGGCAUGAAUGAGGGAAAGAUGUGAGGAAAUGUUUACAGUCUCAGCUGUGGUCUGGACAAUAUUAAUAGUGAUCCUAUAUAAUUGCUUACCAUACAAAACCCUGUGAAGUAGCUAGGCAUGAUAGAGCACGCCUAUAAUCCCAGCGGCUCGGGAGGCUAAAGCAGGAAGAUCACAGAUUCAAAGCCAGCAUCAGCAAUUUAGCAAGGCCCUGAGCAACUUACCAAGACCUGUCUCAAAAAAAAAAAAAAAAAAAAGGGCUGAGGCUGUGGCUCAGUGGUUAAGCACCCUUGAGUUCAAUCCCUGGUACCAAAAAAAAAAAAAAAAAAGUGAAGUGUUCUGCAUGCUUUAAAAAUCCUAUUGGCAUGAUGGUGCACAUCUGUAAUCCCAGUUACCCAGAAAUCCCUUACUGACACACCUAGUUGAGCUACUGCUGUGGAGGAUGAGACAGGAGGAUUUAAAGUUUGAGGAUAGCCUGGGCAACUUAGACCUUGUCUCAAAAUAAAAACAAAACAGGUUAGGAUUUAGCUCAGUAGCAGAGUGCUUGCCUAACAUGUGAGAUCCUGAGUUCCAUCACUAGUGCUGGGGUGUAGCAGGGGAUGAUUUUUGGAUAUUAUCAGUUUAUAUGUCAAGAAACUAGAUAAGGCUGAAAUAAAGUCAUUUACCCAAAAUUGUAAUUUGGGUAAAUUAUGAUUAUAGUUAUGUCGCAGUUUGUAUCUAGGACUAGUUUAAUCCAUAUCUCACCUGAUUUACAUUUUGUUCCUCCAAUCUUCAGAAGCUCAGGGAUUCUCAAAGGUGAUCUCUGUCCCAUAGGUGACAUUUGGCCAUGUCUAAAGACUGUUUUGAUGGUCACAACUGGAUGUUCCUGCCUUCUACAGAUGAAAGCUAGAUGUGCCAUUAAACAACCUAAAAUGCGCAUGACACCCCCACACAAACAACAAAGACCUAUCCAGAUCAAAGUGACAAUAAAGCCAAAGUAAAACAAAACCCUGCUACAGAGCAAGAAUUCUUCCAUCUUUUAGAGUCAGAAACAAUGGAACCAAAGUACCUCACUCCUCAAGGGAGUACAUAUAUAUAAACAAUUUUGCGUGUUUUAGGGGUUCUUGGAAAGACCCAUCCAAAGCAUGUCUAUGAACUCCAGUGUGUUAUUAAGUUUUCUGUUACUGUAACAAAAUACCAUAGGUAAUCAAUUUCUGAUAAAUUAGGGCAGAGAGAAUGUAGUGGAGUAAAGCUAUUCGCCUUAUGACCAGGAUGUAAGAGAAGAUAGAGGAGGAAUGAGGGGGUCCCAUUGCCCUCUUCAAAGGCAUGUUCCUAAUGACCAGAAGACUUCCCGUUAGGCCCUACCUAUUAAACAGUUCCACUACUUUCCAAAUGCUUCAGGCUGGAGACUAAGCCUUUGUAUGUUUCUUUGUUGUUGGUUUCGUUUUGUUUUUGCAGUGCUGGGGUCAAAUCCAGACAAGUACUCCACCGCUUCAUACUCCCCUAGCGCAGGGACUAAGCCUUUAGCAUAAGGGCCUUGGGAGGACAUUGAAGAUCCAAAUGUAGCACCCAGAUUAAAUCAACUCAUCAUACAAAUGCCAUGAGUGAAUUUUAGAUUGUGAUUCCUCUGCCAAAAACUGCCCUUACAUUCUUUCAUUUCUGGCUACUUUCAGAAUUACUUUCACUACACAUUGGCAUGAAGCCAGCAUCCUGUACCACAACUGUCGUAAGUAACAGCCCCAAGGAGCUCUGACUGUCUUUAUAGUAGAGAUUUAGCUGACAAUUUCAUUCAGCCUCCUUUCAGUGGAGACUCAUGAGAAAAAAAGACUUUAUGCACCAGCACUUCUAUCUUUCAUCUAAUCCAGGUCUGGGGCUGUGGCUCAGUGGCAGAGCGCUUGCCUAGCACGUUCGAGGCCCUGGGUUCAUUCCUCAGCACCACACAAAAAAUAAAUAAAUAAAGGUUAAAGUAAUCCACAUGCAUUAUAAAAAAGAUACAGAGGGCUGUUGUUGUAGCUCAGUGGUAGAGCACCUGCCCAGCAUGUGUGAGGCACUGGGUUCAAUCCUCAGCAUCAAAUAAAAAUAAAUAAAAUAGAGGUGUUGUGUUCAUCUACAACUAAAAAAUUUAAUAAAUAAAUAAAUUAUUUUUUAAAAAUAAAGAUAUUAGGCUGGGGGUGUAACUCAGAGGUAGAGUACAGACUCAGCAUUUGUGGGUUCCAUGACUAGCAACA